rnacentral:rRNA from 1 species
UACGUAGGGUCCGAGCGUUGUCCGGAAUCACUGGGCGUAAAGCGCACGUAGGCGGCUUGUUAAGUCAGGGGUGAAAUCCUGGAGCUCAACUCCAGAACUGCCUUUGAUACUGAGAAGCUUGAGUCCGGGAGAGGUGAGUGGAACUGCGAGUGUAGAGGUGAAAUUCGUAGAUAUUCGCAAGAACACCAGUGGCGAAGGCGGUCUGCUGGGCCAGUACUGACGCUGAGGUACGAAAGCGUGGGUAGCGAACGGG